UACGUAGGUGGCAAGCGUUGUCCGGAUUUAUUGGGUUUAAAGGGUGCGUAGGCGGCCCUAUAAGUCAGUGCUGAAAUAUCCCGGCUUAACCGGGAGGGUGGCAUUGAUACUGUAGGGCUUGAGUGUAGUCGAGGUAGGCGGAAUUGACGGUGUAGCGGUGAAAUGCUUAGAUAUCGUCAAGAACACCGAUAGUGUAGACAGCUUACUAGGCUACAACUGACGCUGAGGCACGAAAGUGUGGGGAUCAAACAGG
rnacentral:rRNA from 1 species